rnacentral:rRNA from 1 species
GAUGAACGCUGGCGGCGUGCCUAAUACAUGCAAGUCGAGCGAGCGGCGGACGGGUGAGUAAUGUCUGGGAAACUGCCCGAUGGAGGGGGAUAACUCCUGGAAACGGUAGCUCAUACCGCAUACCCUCGUCUGUGCCCAGAUGGGAUUAGCUAGUAGGUGGGGUAACGGCUCACAUAGGCGACGAUCCCUAGCGGGUCUGUGAGGAUGACCAGCCACACUGGAACUGAGACACGGUCCAGACUCCUACGGGAGGCAGCAGUGGGGAAUAGUGCACAAUGGGCGAAAGCCUGAUGCAGCCAGGCCGCGUGUAUGAAGAAGGCCUUCGGGUUGUAAAGUACUUUCAGCGAGGAGGCGUUAAUCGCAGAAGAAGCACCGGCUAACUCCGUGCCAGCAGCCGCGGUAAUUC